UAGGGAAUCUUCCACAAUGGGCGAAAGCCUGAUGGAGCAACGCCGCGUGUGUGACGAAGGGUUUCGGCUCGUAAACACUGUUGUAAGAGAAGAAUGACAUUGAGAGUAACUGUUCAAUGUGUGACGGUAUCUUACCAGAAAGGAACGGCUAAAUACGCGCCAG
rnacentral:rRNA from 1 species